AACCACACCCUCAAAAAGCUUCCUCUUCCCACGAGGCGAUUCCCUCUCCUCCUUCACCCUAACACCUACAUUGCCAACUCUUGAUCUCAACCUAGAACUCCAAGCCCCACCAGAACCUUUAUUUUCCCGCCCUAAUCUCCUAGCACCCUCCACAAUACGACCAAUUCCACCCUUCCCCACUUUCCUCCUUUUCUUCGGCGGAGCUGGAGAAGCGUCGAGCAGCAUUGGGGCACGGCGAACCCGGGAGCUUCGACGAACCCCAGCAU
rnacentral:misc_RNA from 1 species